rnacentral:lncRNA from 1 species
UGCCUCUAUAUAUAUCCUCUACAAAUAGAAAACCAAAUGAAAAUAAAGUGUCAGCAAACAGAGAAGCCGGUGGAUCAGAAGAGCAAUUGCAAUCAUUUGUACUUUCACUUCCAAAGAAAGGUAUGUCCAAAAUUCUUACUCCAUCAACUUCUAUUUCUCUUUGUUACUUUAAUUAAUUAGUUGAUGAUUACAAGAAGUAACGAGCUACUGUUAAUAUGACCUUCCUAGCUCUAUUGCCUUCUUCUUUCUUCCCCAACUCUCUAUUCCUUUGAAGAUUUUGUAGGUAUUUCCAAUUUUGCUGCCAUUUUCUUUUCAUUUCUAUUUAUCCUAUGUUUCGUGGUAUAGUUGGUUAUAUCCUCGUGCAUUACCUUGUUACCCCCAUAGCAUUAUCAUAUUCCAUGAAUUUACACCAAAGAUUCUUGUUAGGAAUUUAAAAAGUAUAAUCGCAUUCAUCCAAGGUCAGGAAAAAAAUCGCAAUUCAAGAGAGUAUGAUGUAAGUACAUAGUCUAUGCUAAUACAAAUAUUAGUGGCUGAUUUCACGGUUUCAAUUCGUGAUAUAUAGGUUACACGGACACAAUUUUAUUGUUGCUCCAAAAUUCCAGUUCUAAUUAGGAAUUCAAUAUUUUACGAACUUAAAUGUCUCAAUGGGGACAUUAGGCAAUUUCAAGCUUAGAGGUAGAGGAGAAAGAAGAUUCAAAUUCACUUCUAAAAUCCUACAAAUAAUAUAGUCCCAACGAACGCGAUGAGUUUUUUUAUGUGGCUAAUUUGUUAGUCUAGGAAAAGAAGUGGCUAUCAACAAAAAGAUAGAAUUACUAGUGCAUGAUGAUGAGGAAAGUUAGCUGCAUUAAUAAUAAUAUAGACUAAAUUCAAACAACGUACAUUAUCAUUUUCAGCCGCACUUUGGAAAAGUUGGGCGUUUCUCACUUUCUUUGUUUCUUCUUUUUCCUUUUCUUUUAGUUAGUUGAUUGUAGAGAAAUUUUUAUAAAGUACUAUUUUUAAGUAGUAAUUAAUUAUUUAUAAAUAUUAAUAAUUAUAUUGUAGAUUAUACAUAUAUUUUAUGUAGUUAUAAGAUGUAUUUGAUGUGAUUAAGCUAUUGUAUUUAUGAAUACUGUAGCAAAAACAGGCAUGAAUAAGGAAAAUCCAACUAAUCAAUUGUUGUAUUCAAGUGUAUUUGACUGUAUUCAUGAAGUGAAAUAUGGGAUCCAGCUGGAAAGGUUAUUGUAUUCGACUGUAUUCACAACAUGAAAUAGGGGAUUAUACUAUUUUUAAAACGGAAAGUGAAUCAAUUAACAUAAUAGACUCCUAAUAUAACUCAACAAACUCAAUUAUUACACAUAAAUUUUAUAUUUUCAGUUAUAAAAAGAUUCUCAAUCGAAAAAUACCCCAAAAAAUAUACACAAAUUUUGUAUUUUCAGUUAUAAAAAAGAUUCUCGAUAUAAAAAUACCCCAAAUAACAUAGCAAUCUUCAGAGAAAUUAUAUAAUACAUCUGAAUUUCAUAAAUUAUAUUCAUUAAAAAAAACUUAUGAAUACAUUCAUGGGAUAUAGCGAGACAGUGAAUACAAUGAAAUAUGUAGAAUACAACAGGAUACAUUUAAAUACAAUGAGAAAAAAAGACAGUGAGACAAUAAAUGUAAGAUAUAUGGAUUUAUAUCUAGAUAUAUGGACUUAUAUCUACACACAUAUGAA